CCGAGUUAGGGUUUCGUCCGACGAGCCCGACCUCCCAACCCUUUGUCUAUUAUACCUUGUCGUUGCUUCGGCGGACCGGUCGCGACCAACUGGUCGUGGCCGCCGGGGCCCAUCCCUGGAAAGCGUCCGCCGACGGCCCAACCACAAACUCUUGUACCAAACCAUGUCGUCUGAAUUUACUUGAUUAAAAUCAAAAACA
rnacentral:misc_RNA from 1 species